UACAGAGGGGGCAAGCGUUAUUCGGAAUUAUUGGGCGUAAAGGGCGCGUAGGCGGCCGUUCAAGUGGCGGGUGAAAUCCCUCGGCUUAACCGAGGAACUGCCUGCCAGACUGGAUGGCUUGAGACCGGGAGAGGUGAGUGGAAUUCCCAGUGUAGCGGUGAAAUGCGUAGAUAUUGGGAGGAACACCAGUGGCGAAGGCGGCGCACUGGACCGGAACUGACGCGGAGGAGCGAAAGCGUGGGGAGCAAACAGG
rnacentral:rRNA from 1 species